AUUGAACGCUGGCGGCAGGCCUAACACAUGCAAGUCGAACGAGUGGCGGACGGGUGAGUAAUGUCUGGGAAACUGCCCGAUGGAGGGGGAUAACUUCUGGAAACGGUAGCUAAUACCGCAUACCCUCGGAAGUGCCCAAAUGGGAUGAGCUUGUAGGUGGGGUAAGGGCUCACCUAGGGGACGACCCCUAUCGGGUCUGAGAGGAUGACCAGCCACACGGGAACUGAGACACGGUCCAGACUCCUACGGGAGGCAGCAGGGGGGAAUAUUGAACAAUGGGCGCAAGCCUGAUGCAGCCAUGCCGCGUGUAUGAAGAAGGCCUUCGGGUUGUAAAGUACUUUCAGCGAGGAGGCGUUACUCGCAGAAGAAGCACCGGCUAACUCCGUGCCAGCAGCCGCGGUAAUUC
rnacentral:rRNA from 1 species